rnacentral:rRNA from 1 species
CCUACGGGAGGCCGCAGUGAGGAAUAUUGGUCAAUGGCCGGAAGGCUGAACCAGCCAUGCCGCGUGAAGGUCAGUGCCCUAUGGGCGUUAAACUUCUUUUGUGCGGGAGCAAUAAUGGUCACGUGUGGCCAGACGAGAGUACCGUAUGAAUAAGCAUCGGCUAACUCCGUGCCAGCAGCCGCGGUAAUACGGGGGAUGCAAGCGUUAUCCGGAUUUAUUGGGGUUAAAGGGUGCGUAGGCUGUGAGGUAAGUCAGCGGUGAAAUGCCCCGGCUCAACGGGGUGAAGUGCCAUUGAUACUGCCUUGCUGGAAUGCGGAUGCCGUGGGAGGAAUGUGUGGUGUAGCGGUGAAAUGCUUAGAUAUCACGCAGAACCCCGAUUGCGAAGGCAGCCUGCCAAGCCAUGACUGACGCUGAUGCACGAAAGCGUGGGGAUCAAACAGGAUUAGAUACCCUAGUAGUC